UUUUGCAUAGAUACUUGUUUCUGUAUUUCAGGAAUCUCCUUUGUUUGUAUAAUUAAUUGUCCAAGCACUUUGCAAGAGAUAUUCAACUCUUGUGGAACACUAUGAAUACUUUCUAAUACUUGUGUGGCUUUUGACAUCCAUAGGAUGCUAUAUUUUAAAAGUAUAUCUUUUGAACAUUGUGACAAACUCUUAUCUAAAAUUACUAAACCAUUAUAUCUUGUGUGAGCUCGAUUUAAGUAAUUAUUAAUAGUUGAUAUAAUUACACUUUGUGCUUCGUCAACCUAAAAUAAAAAUAAUAUAAUUAAAGAUGUUAAAUUAAUUUUUUAACUGAAAAUAGUAAAAUUAUGUUAAAAGUUAUUGAGAAUCUAAGAUCCUAAACUAAGAAGGUUUCCAUAAAUCGUACAUUUAUUAUUAGAGUUAUGUACAGUCAGAGCUUAACAAACUCCGUGAAUCUUUUACGCAACGCGAUUGGCCUCAAUCGCAAAAGGAAUUAUUAUGUAAUUUUGUGGUACACUCGGUGGUGACGAAUUUAUACAGCAGGGAUCCUUAAUGGAAGGGAAGUAAAAGCAAAAAUGGGAAAGUGAAAAUGUAAAAAUUAAAAAAUUCUUUAGAAAAUUAAUAUUCUUAAGUAAAAACAUGUGUACACUCUGUUUAUUAAUUAUGCAUACAAAGAAAAGUGCAAAAAAGUGAACAAUAUUAUAACAUGUAUGAAUGGUAUAUUGAAAAAUACAAAAUUUUAUA